AGUUAUUUAAAAUUCCUGCCUUUUCCUGGUCUUCAUUAACCUGAGUACGCAACCAAGAGAUAUUAUUGUCAGCGUCCACAAUUAUAUCUACAAAGAAGAAAUUUGGAAAGCCAGGAAUAACCAAGACUUAAGCAAUGGAAAAUAUAAGAAUCCUCAGAAUUUUAAACGAUCUCUCCAGCCAUACUCAAGUUAAAACUUUGCACAGAUAUAUUAGUAAAGGAAAAUAUCAGAUUUGAUUUGCUUAAUCCAG